rnacentral:rRNA from 1 species
ACUUUUAUGAACACUGCAUUGUAUGCACCCAGUCUUGUCUGGUCUCAGAAACUAAACUGUCCUGGACCUGAGUAAUACUUGGAUGGCAAACCACCUAGGACUUCUAGGUGCUGUAGGCC